rnacentral:rRNA from 1 species
ACGUGCCAGCAGCCGCGGUAAUACGUAGGGUGCAAGCGUUAUCCGGAAUUAUUGGGCGUAAAGGGCUCGUAGGCGGUUCGUCGCGUCCGGUGUGAAAGUCCAUCGCUUAACGGUGGAUCCGCGCCGGGUACGGGCGGGCUUGAGUGCGGUAGGGGAGACUGGAAUUCCCGGUGUAACGGUGGAAUGUGUAGAUAUCGGGAAGAACACCAAUGGCGAAGGCAGGUCUCUGGGCCGUCACUGACGCUGAGGAGCGAAAGCGUGGGGAGCGAACAGGAUUAGAUACCCUGGUAGUCCACGCCGUAAACGGUGGAUGCUGGAUGUGGGGCCCGUUCCACGGGUUCCGUGUCGGAGCUAACGCGUUAAGCAUCCCGCCUGGGGAGUACGGCCGCAAGGCUAAAACUCAAAGAAAUUGACGGGGGCCCGCACAAGCGGCGGAGCAUGCGGAUUAAUUCGAUGCAACGCGAAGAACCUUACCUGGGCUUGACAUGUUCCCGACAGCCGUAGAGAUACGGUCUCCCUUCGGGGCGGGUUCACAGGUGGUGCAUGGUCGUCGUCAGCUCGUGUCGUGAGAUGUUGGGUUAAGUCCCGCAACGAGCGCAACCCUCGCCCCGUGUUGCCAGCGGAUUAUGCCGGGAACUCACGGGGGACCGCCGGGGUUAACUCGGAGGAAGGUGGGGAUGACGUCAGAUCAUCAUGCCCCUUACGUCCAGGGCUUCACGCAUGCUACAAUGGCCGGUACAACGGGAUGCGAC